CUAGGAACAUUCACUUCCUAGCUUGAAUUCAAAUCUUUUUUUAAUUGAUCUGUUUUGUAAAUUGUGGUUACUAUGACAAUAAAUUGAUUCACUUCAAAAGCUAUUAACAGCAGAUUGGCUCUUCUGUUUUCUUUGUUGAGAAUAUUAUAAUAGGUAAAAUGUCAGCAAUAACCAAGAAAAUUCCAGGGACAGAGAAAAAUGGCACAGGAAUUUUGCAAGAUAUGAUAUGCCUCCUGAUGCAUUAUAGAAUUUAAUUUAUGAUGGGUAAUUGAGAGAUAUUAAUUCAUCCCAUGUGAAAAACCAGAAGCACAGGUUUAAGAAUGAUAACCUUUCUUUGGUUUUCACCUAAUUUCAUUCAAUACUUCAAAUCAAUAUUUAUUGAUCUUCUACUAUGAGCCAAGAACUGUGCUAAGUACUAAAAAUAAAAAGAAGAAUAAGACAGACUCUUCAUCCAAUGAUGAAGCUACCAGCCUGAAUCGUCAUGGGCACAAUGGAGAAACAUUAAAGUCAGAAAAAAACAUGAAGCUGAUGCAAGGGAAAGGACCAAGAUCAGAAAUCCAAAGGAAACACCCAGCUCACUUUAGACCUUGACUUUAGGCUUCCUUCACAUUCGAAUUGUAAUGCACUGGAGGAUGUUGCAUCAUGGGACGCAAUCCUGGGCCAAAAGUCUGUACGGUCCUUUGCACCUGGUCCUGUGAUGGCAGAACCUUUCAUCUCAUCUUUAUUAUUAUUGUUAUUUUUUUACUAUGACUCCGGUGUUAUCUUCAAAUUAAAAAAAAAAUUGUUAUUAGUUUCAUUGUCGAAUGACCAUUUUUGCUCUUGAACUUCUGCAUAUACCUUCCUUCUGAGCUCUGAUUUGCCUUUCUUGACUGUGGCCAUCACCAUGGCACCCACAGCAAUAUUGGAAAGUCUAUUCAGCUGUACCUUGAUCUCUUUCAUCACAAUGACAUACGGAUUUUCAGCUUCUGUCCCAUCAGCAUAGUGGAUCACUGCUCCUAAGGAAGACCAAGGGCAAUCGAAAUUUACAUCACAGGACCCACCAUGUCCUGGCUUCAACAUUUUUAAUGCUGGAAAGGGACAGAAAGGAAAUGGAUACACAGGACAUUGGGAUAUGAAUUUUGACACCCCAUCCUCUCUCUUCACAUCUUAGUUCUCUAAUCCUGAAAGGUUAAAAAAACCUUUAACAUGUUCCCACUCUUAAAAAUCUCAUUUGAUCAUGCUGGGUUAGAAACUCGUAGUAAUUAAGAAUAGCAACUACAAUUUCUUAAGCACUUACAUUGUGCCAAUACCAUUAUAAGCAAUUGACAUAAAUUAACCCCAGUUGUAAGCACAUUUUAAAGAUGAGGAUGCUGAAGCUCAGAGGACUUAAAAUACUGCUCACAUUCAAAUAACUAGUAAUCGGCAAAUCCUGUAUUAGAGUUCAGAUCUGCAAAACUGCAGAGUCUGUGUUCUUCCUAUUGUCACAAAAUUUCUUCAGUCUUCAAGUCACUUCCACUUCAUUUCCUACAGGGAAGAAAAUAGAUUGACUUCAUAGCUUAUUAUCCUCCAUCAUCUUUCAGUUAUUCAGGAUCUAU
ensembl:lncRNA